AACCACUGGACCGCCAGAGAAUUCCCUAGCUGACCAUUUUGACUUUGUAAACUAAUUGCUUGGAAACUGGCCCAGGAUUUGAGGAGCACAGUUUGUGGGCAUGUAGGGCAUGGCGGGUCCUAGAGGCUGCCUGGGCCUAACACUGGCCUGGAGCAGCCUGAAGCCCGUCAGGAGCCAGAGGUGUGUUUAGAACAGGCGAGGGGUAAGCCUGAGAGGAGCUGCAGACACAGCCGCCUGUCACUGAGUGCCAAAAAGGGGCCGGGGGUCCUGGGGCAGAGGGCAGUGUGGCUGGCGGGGCCCCGGAAGGGAGAGUCCCUCCACAACCAGGCUCUCACUGUGCCCCAGCCUGCAGCAUCAGACCGUCUUUGCCGUCGCACUCCUGCUGAGCCCCAGCAGAAAGUGCCUGACGAGGACCCAGGCACUGUGUGGGCCUUCCGAAGUUUUAGAAUGAUCAGAGUUACCCAGUUACAGGAGACCCUGAUGGUCCCUGUGACCUUUGAAGAAGCUCCCUGGAGCUUUGAGGGUCUGGCCCAAGCUUCUCCCCUAAGCCCCCCCACCACACAGCCCCAGGGCCCAGCUCAGGCUCACAGCUGCCAGAAUGAGUCCACUCCGGGUCCCCACCCUAGCCCGUGCGGGAGCUGCCAUGGGUCUCAGAGCAGGCCCAGGGCCCCCGCCGGGAGAGGCCGCAGGUGCAUUCAUUGUACUGAACGUAGAAUCAGUAAAGACAAGGGUCUGGACCAUCUACCCAGCCUCCAGGGACCCAGGGUGAUCAUUCUGUGGUGCAGCUGGUAUAAACGUGACGCAGAGUUUUUACGGCCAGAUCAGCUGGGGCUCAUUUCCUGUUGAUGUCUCACGGGUCCAGCCCUGCUUCUGCCAUGGCACCUGGGGGCUCUGUGUCCACAGGGCCAUCUGUCCUGGCCCCACACCCUCUCUUCCUCCUGCCUUCCUGGGCACCUCAGCCGGGACCUGGGUGCCAUCUGGACUCUGCCUUCCCUCAGUCCCCACAUCCUAUCAGUCCCUCCUGCCCACCCAAGCCCCCGUGGAGCCCCUGUGCUGGUCCAGGACUGCAUCACAUGUCACCCACUUUCCCAGCCUCUUCCCCAUCAGGCCAUCCUCCACACAAUGGCUGGAGAGACUCUGUUUAAUCAGAACACAUCACAGACGCCUCAGCCCCACUGAGGCCUUGCUCAGCACUUAUUGGGCGUUGCGUCUCCCCAGCCAGGCCCACCCAUGUCUGCAGCCCCAGCCCUCUUUGUGUUCACCUCCCAGUCUCCGGAUGUGGUUUCCUGUCCAUGCCUUGCUAUUUUCUCUGCCCCUCGUCUAGCUCACCCUUCUUCUUCUAAGACUUAGCUUAGAAAUCACGUCUUCAGACAAGCCCUUUUGUCCCCCUUGCCAGGUGGCUUAGGUUCCUUCUCUGGGGGCUCCCGUCCCCCUUGGGCAUGGCCUGAUCUCUGCAAUUCUAGAUCAUAAACGCUCAUGGGGUGAGGCUACCUCCCUGCAGAACUGGGGGCUUCUUGGAAGAAGGAGCUGCACUGUGGGCGCCGGGGUUCCCCGGGCUGCACCAGCAGCGGGAUCUCAGGAAAUGGAGGAAAUCACUUUGAAGCAAACACAGGAAGGUUACGUUUCGAAGCAGGUGUGUCUACUCAGACCACAGCCAUCUGACCAGGAGCCCCUCACUCAGCAGUUUCAUUUGAGUUUAACCUGGAGUUGGGGUGACAGCCCCCUCGCACUCCCACGUAGCCUGAUGGGUUUGCCUUCCCCUCUCCCACGGCAUACCGAGUGUACACCUACAGGAGCCAGCUGGCUCCAGGCUGGCUGCAGCGAGAGCUGCAAGAGAGGACGCAGCCGCCUGAACCAUCUGGGCCCCCAGGAAGAGCCUGCAGGUCCUGUCCCUGUGGGGUGGGGUGUCUGGAGCUGCCCCAGCUGCCAGGAGCACCUGCAGUUGGUACCAAGGUGUUCGGGGUUGGGGUCCAGGCCAGACACCUGGGGAGCCCUGGAUGUUGCCCCAGUGUCAAAGAACAGACCCCCUCCCACGUCUCCCUCCCCUUUCCUCUUCUCUGUAGUCUGAGGUCAUCAGCCCAGCCCAGCCCAGCCCAGCCAACACCAUAUUCCCCUGCCCCACCCGGCACCGUUCCCCUGUGCUCAGUCUCAGGCCACAGGCCCCAGACCCACGGUCUGCACCGCAGUCCGGAGGAGCUUCUGAAACAAUCCGAUUAGACUCUUUCUCCCUUUGGUGGUCUCAUUGUUUCGGGGGAUGAAGUCCAGUCUCCCAGUCUCUGUCUAGGGUCCUCUGAGCUCCUGCCCUUACUGGCCUCUUUCCCCACCCAGCCUCCACCUGGGCUCCUCCACCACCUCUGAUGCCCACUGCUGUCUGACCUCCAGGCCCCUGCCCCUGCCGGGCUCUCUGCCUGAGACUCCUUUCCUGCCUUGUUUCCUAUCAGCUCCUCCUUAACUCUUCAGGGCCCAGCUGAUAUGCCGCCUCCUGGCGGGGUGGGAUGGGGGGCAGGAGGGGUCUUCUUUGACCCACCCAGGGCUGCCUGUGACCCCCAAACCCUCUCCAUGCUGUGCUGUCAUCCUGGCAGGAACUGGAGUGGUUUAACAUCUGGAUCCCACAAACGGAACUCCAUCAGGACUGUCUGGCUGAGCUCAGGCAUCGAUGGAUUUGAGGGGGCUGGCAGCCCAGAGGGCCGAUGGGCAGCGGUGGCCAUCACAGCGGUUCUCCGAGAUGUGGUAGAUCCGAGCACCUCAGUCCUUCCUGCCUGCCAUCCUGGCCCUUCACGACUCUCCUAGGUCCCCUGUCCAGAACCCCUCCACCUGCCUCUCCUUCCACGGUGCCCUGGACAUAAGGAGCCUCAGGUGCUGCCCACAUGCCCUGCUGCCACGUGCAGUCCCUGCAUCCACGCACAGAAGCUGCUGACGCAGUUGACACAAAAGGGAUUGCCACCAAUGGAGCUGGUUUCUAAAGCUCUGUGGUUAAUUAUUUUGUCUCAGUGAAAUGAAAGGAGGGUAAACAAACAGCAAUACAUUAAUUAGUCUGAUCUACACUUUCUCCACGAAAGAGGAGAGCAAAGUUAAACAUUGGAGGCUGGCAGCUUUUCAGAGAACCCGAGAGUCCUCGGAGGGCUGGCAGGGCAGGAUGUGGUGCACAGGCACCCAGCCCGCGCCCCCAGUCCCAGCCCUUUCUCUUGCCUGGCCCGGCCCGGGUUCUGUCUCCCAGGGAGGAACACCUACCUCUCCUCCCCGCCACAGUUCUCUGCUUCCGUGUCCUGGGGUUGGCACCUUUGCCAAGAAAAGUCCACCAUGGGCAUUUCUGGUGGGGCUGACAGGUCUCUCAAAGGCCCUGUGUGCUGAGCUGUUGCCAGUCACCCCUGCAGGCAGGAUUGCUCUCUCAGGUUCCUAUUUUAAAGCCGACCAUCACCCUCGGGUUUAUCCCUAUUGUGAAUCCUGGUGUGUGGCUUCUAGGGUUGCUUGGGAUGACCUCUGCCCCAAUACCAUCGUUUCCAGAACUGGCCUGGAGUCCCAGACACCCUCAGGUCCUGGGCUCAGGAGUGGGGGUCUACAGAGUGCCCAAGGGAGGGCUCCCAGGACUCAAACACUCUGUUCUAGAAGCAGAGACCACAGCCUCACUCCCUCACCCCCGGCUGCAUUGCUCAAUGCUCAGUGUGGGCUCAAAGGUCAGGCUGACCUGAAUGAAAUCCUGGCACUGGAGUCAGGCUCACUGAGCCUCUGUCUCAUCAUGGGAGUAACAAUACCUGCCUCCCAGGACUAUCACGAGGAUUAAAGGGGGCCAGGCCACUAACAUGGCUGGCCCUGUUUCCUUCCCUACCUCCCCCUCUCCUUGCAGGGCCUCCCUGACCACCCGUCCCCUGAGGCUGGCCCUGUGUGCCCUGUUUGUUCUCCCCGACCUGUAAACUCAGUGGAGUUUGCAGACAGGACCAGCUGGUCCUGUGUGCUGUUCUGGGGCAGCCCGAGCCUGCCCGCUGUAUUUCUAGGCCCCGGACUGACCUGCAGAGCCCCUCAGAUCCUCAGAGAUGCCUCCACACCUUAGGUCGGAGCUGCUGGCCUUCACUAACUUGUUCCUCCCCCUGCGGCGAGGACUGGACUGGGUCUGAUUGCGACAAGGAGACCGGGCUGUGGAGCCAGGAUGGACAGAGGAGCAGAGAGCUCCAACAGUUUGCAGGUGGGAGAGGAAGAGGCGGCUGGUCAGGUCCUGGACAGCACCUGGGAGGUCACAGGCCCAGCCACUCCCAGACAGGCAAUGCCUGGGCCAUUGAGAGCAAGCAGCUCAUACCGCAGUUGCUUCUGCAGGUUACUGAUGAUCUGUGGUGACCCGUCAACACGGAGACCCCUGUUUGCUAACCUGUGACCUGCGGCCACCACAGCAUGAGAAGUGGGGACUCGGACUGAUCAAAGUCACUGUCCUCAGAGCUCUGUGGCUGGCUAAUCUGCCCUCCCCUGGGGAGGGCAUCCUCAGGAACAGGGCCUGGCCAGGCCUGGUCCUGUUUGAGUAAAGAUGGCAGGAUAGAGAGAUGGGUCCCCAACAACCCUCGUGGGCGAGCUGCAAUGGACAGGAUCUCUGCUACUGGAUGCCAAAUAACACUGGCACUGAGACGCCAUCCCACUUCCAUCUCCCUGGGAAGUGGACCUGGCAUGUGUGCUGAUCCCCAAGAUGAGCUGCACAGAGGCCCUAAGGGCCCUAGGGGUGCUGACUUUGAAUUUAAAUUUCUCCUGCAGCAUGAAAGUGAGUAAGCCAGACCAGUUCUACUGGCGAAGGCAAGCCCUGGCCCCUCUGAGGAAGCCCACACCAUCUUUUGGGAUCUCUAAGCCUUACUUUGGGAACUUCUGGGAAUCUGGGUCAGGUGUUGCCCCAUGUUGGGCUAGGAUGGGCCCUGGCCCUCCCUCACACCACUUGCAUCUGGUCCUCAUGCCUGCUGAGCCCUCUCAUCCCGGCAGCAGGGCUGGGAGUCCUGGAGCAGAGGGACCUCCUCUCGUCGUCUUUUUUGUUUCCAAAGGCUCACGUCUAGCAGGAGCUGAGCCAAGCCCCAGGUUUCCGCAGGAAAGGCGGAGAGGAGUGUUCCAAUCCAAUGACCAGAAUGUGCUCGCAUCCCCGGCAGCACUGGGAUCAGGGCCGGCCCAUUUCUGCCUGGAUGCCUGCUGGGGAGGGGUUGGCAUAGCAACAUGAGCUCUGAGCUGCUGAAACUUGGAGUCAACUCGUAGCUGGGAGGACAGAAAGAACGACGGAAGAGGAUGCUUGCCCAUGCGACGCAGGUGAGACAAAUCCAGGCUAAUCCCUGAAAGCCACAUCCCAGAAGCAGAACCGGGGUCCAGGGUCUGGUGUGAACACGUGCUGUAGCAACGACUCCCACCAACACAGCUGUACCAGGGCAGCUCCAGGGCAGGACUGGAGCAGGCAGUUGUUGACCACUGGAGAGGUCACGUGCCAACAGCUGAGCAUCUGGACGGGCCUGGGCCUCCUACUUCAAGAGCUCUGAGCCUGCCCAGGUGCUGAGGUUUGUGCCUGAGCCUCACCUUGCAAGUGGCCAGAAGCCGGGCAUCCUGGAACUCCCUAGCAGGUUACAUCACCUGCCUCAGGUGAGCCCUGUGUUGUCUGCUGUGUGACCAGCUGAGUGCCAGCCCCCAACAAGUUCCCUGCUGGCCAGCGCCACUCAGGAGAGUCCUUCCUCAGGGACGGACACUAGGAGGAAUCUCACUUCUCUCAGGCUCCGCUGUUGAGGCUUUUGUCCCAGCAAAGUCCCUGCUUCCCUGACAUGAGAGCUGAUGUUAAUGGUCCCUGAGCCGAACAAGGCUUGGAACAUACUUCACUUAAGAAGAAAGGACAACAUACUUUCUGUGGGAGUGGAACUUUAAAUACAAGUCCACACAAAUGGCAGGAUUUAUGCAGACUCAGUGUUCAGCUGGGUUUCAAAUACAGCCUUUCCUCCUGGAAUGGAUUGGCUGGCAGAGCAGUGUGUAGGCAUUUCAAGGCACCAGAGAACACAGAUGAAGACAACAAACCUCCCUAAAACGGAAUAGACUUGCUAAAAUUCUUCUGAAAGGAAUCAUUUCACAUUCAGCCUGAAGUUUUCUAUGCAAAGAACAUUUAACAAACUGAGUCCUAGAGGAGAAUUUCUGCAAAGAUUAAAAAGCAAAUCAGUGCGAAUGGGUAAAUAAAAUCAGGCAUCAGCAUCUCACCAACCUUCCCUGUAGCUCUGGGCAGCUGGGCCCGAGGGCUGCAUUUCUGAACCAAGACUGGAUCUCACUCACCACUGAGGGCUGAGGUCCUUGUCCUGGGCCCUUUCAGAGGCCUUGGACACCAGGCCACUGCUAUCCUCAGGUCCUGCCUCUGCACACGGCACCACAGGAGCCCUUGGCUCUGAGAGAACCAGCCAGAAGACCUCCUGAGAGAGGAUGGCCCAGCUCAGGCCGAACCAUGGACUGCUUGCUCGGGGAGGCCUCCGACCUGCCUGCAGGGCUGUCCUGGGCCUGCUCCAGAAGAAGCUCCUCUCACCUGAGGAGGGGCCGCGGGGACCUUCUUGUCCUUCUGGCUGAAGAGGGAGCACUCCCUGCGUGAACUCAAGGACCUGAAAGUAGAUGAGCGGUUCACAGAGGUGUCCGGACCUCCACAGUCACCGAGCAGCGCAGUACAAGUGACCCAGCCUCAAGCCCACAGGCCCACAGACCACAGACCAUCACCUGGGAUGACCCCUGAUGGACGUGCAGCUCCAAGUGAGACCACAUGCACAGACGCACAGAGCUUGGUCUGGGUUCCUGGAUGCCUCUACCUGUCCUGAGACACAGCCUGGAGAGCAGAACCAGCUGUGGAGUUGGAUGGACCUGCUCCCUAGACCACUGGAACAGGAGGGCCCUACGCGGCAGUCCCUGGGAUGAGAAAACCGUGUGUCAAGGUGGCUGCCGAAUCCCUCUCUAUUUUUACGUUCCUGACACUACCUCUUUGAGCCCCGAGGAGGCAUCCUGGCCUGAGGUGGACCGAGCUGGCAUCUCUGAGGCAGAUGUGGCCAGCCCUCACCUCAUUCUCCAGAAACCACCAAAAAGUCAGAUUGGAUGGAAAUUUUUGUCCCCGGUUCUUUCUCGACUGCCAGCCCAGCUGACCAACAGAGAUCCCAGACCCUUCUCUGCAAAUUCAUGGAGGUGGUGGCCACUAAGAGCCAACAACGUUCCGCAGACUCCUACCCCAGCCUCCCUUCACUGCACGGGCCUGCCUUCCAGACCUCUCUGCAAAGCUCCAACACGCCCUCACCCACACCAGGGCCAGCUAGUGACCUACCUCUGGUCCAUCAAGUCCCUCUUUUGGACUGUUGCUUCUCCAGCUCCUCUCACAAUUGACCCACAUGGUCAUGAUGGCUACUGUCAAGCCCUUGGAGCACCAGAUGAGGAAACUGAGGUCCAGAGAUGUAGACGAUAUAUCCAAGGUCACUCAACAGGCUGAUUCCAAUUCCUUAGAGUGUUUCAAAAUAUUUUGACCCAUAUGCUUUUCUUCUUCUAUAUGAGUUGGUGUAAACCCUCUGACUCAGAUGUUAAUGUCCAGACCUAACACAUGCAAGUGUGUGUGUGUGUGUGUGUGUAAUUCCCCCUGUUAGAGUUAGUCGUUCCUCUUCUGUGUUUCCAGUGCUCUCUGUUCAUCCCUCCAUCAUACAAUUUAUCUUGCUGCACUGGAAUUAUCUGUCUGUGUAUGUCCUCCUGACAGGAGUGAGUAGCUAAGGGCAGGGACUUUGUACUGUUCUUUGUAUACAGUAGGCACACAUGAAUUUUGUUAGAUGAAUGUUGAUGAAUUCACAACUGUCCACUCACUAUACAUAGGUUACCAUGACUUGGCCCUAUUAAAUGUGCAAUCCUUCUAUGGUUGAUUAAUUAAAAAUUAUGUUCUUCUGAAGGUUAAUAACUGAAAAACUAUACUUUGCUUAGCAUACUAUGCCUGUGAGGAGCAUAGCUGCUUGGGCCACACUGCUUCAUGGUGCCUCUUGUGGCAGUGUGCUCUAAUUGCAGGCAAAGGGUCUCAGGAGCGGGUCUUUCAAACAAAACAUGUAAAGGAAAAACAUUUUCACCAAAUGUAUGCAACAAGUUUCUGAAAUACACCAGCCUCUGCUUCCAUUGCCCUUACUCUGCUACCCCAGCAUCAGUAGCUGGAAUCACAGCUGCUCAGAUUUGACAUGAGAUAAGGUUGGCAAUAUUUCUAAGAUCCCAAUUUGGCUCACCUGCUGCGGCUACAGGUGAGGCAGCACCUAUAAGGAAACAACAUGAAGUGGCCAUGUUCAUUUUCACAAUUCCUACUCUGUGCUCCAUGUUCUGUUUUAGACUUGGCUAACCCCCUAAGGACAGGGACUGUGUCUCAUUCACUUCUGUCUCUCCAGUGGUUGGUGCAGGGCUUAACACAGAGUAGGUGCCACGUGCUGUGCUGGGACUGUCUAAGAAUUGGCGUGUCAGAGCCUUGGGGUUAGAAUGAUCUGGUAAAAGAGACCUGGCGGGAAAGCUGCUCUGAAGUAACCACAGCUGUACUUGCCGGUGCCCAACCAUUCCAAACAUCCAUGCCUUUAUUAUUAUUCUGAUUUCUCAAUUUGAUUUUAUUCUUCAGAAGUCACCAUUCCACUCCGUCGCAUUCAGUGAGUGUGGACACACAUUAAUCAUUACUGGGGUCAAUGACCAGAUGAGCCCUUAACAUUCCAUUACCAAGACAAGUGUUUGUCAUUUCUCAUUAGUAUUAUGUUUAUAGUCACUAGGGACUUAUCCCCGGACAACUUGUCAAAAUCUGCGUGGCCUUGCCAACACGGGGCAAGUUUAUCCUUCCAGAACUGUGGAGGGCAUCUGGAACCCUCGCAUGACUUUCCAAAGAAAACGCAGUGCAGCACCAUGGUCUCUUUCAUCUUCUAUCAUCUUGCACAUCAAAACUUCCCCUUCACUCAUCAAGGGACUCUUGCAGAGCUGUGAAUAUUACCUCCCCACUGCCUCACAUCCUUCACAGAACUGCAGGUGCCUCUUGGAAGAAGUGCUGCAUCUGUGUCCCUCUCCCUUCUUGCCUUUACUUUCCAUUGUUAUUAGAAGUGUAGCCAUGGAGAGAAAUCUGGUGGUCAGUGGUGACUGCAGCCCUGAGAAAAGAUAGAUUUUCCUUCUAAUCAGACUAAGAAGACUGGGGUUUGGUUUCUAGUCCCUGCAGUCUGCAGAACAAACUCAAGAUGGCAAGUCCAGAAAAAUCCCCUUUUGUGAGACAAGCUCUCUGCACGGGGGGCGGGGGUCACUGAUUGAUAGGUGCUGCAUCCGGAAUGGGCUGUGGGAUUUGCAGUGACCCUGACUCAGGCCCUCACAGCAGCCACUCUGGGAGGCAGCCACUCAGGGACAUUGCUGGAGAAUCACAGACCAAAGGAUAACACUGCCUGCCUCCUGGAGCACAGAGAAAAGGUCUCAGUCCAGGGGCAAGCCUCUGCCUCCUCCCUCACAGAAAAAGCCCUCCUAAGCUUUUUGCCUGGAUUUGGGCACUGCGGCUGUGCUUGGCAUCUGUGCCUCUUGGCAACUCGUGCUGCCUGCCGCUUGACACAGGCAGCCAUCCUCGUAGCAGACCUCCCAGCCUUCUCCUGCCUAGAGCUUUUGUGAAGACCAAAUGAGAGAAAAGUCCAUGCAUGUUCUCUAAAGAGCAAAGAGCACUGGUAGGAAUGCUGGAUGGCUGUGCUGUCUGGCCACGCCCUCCACAAGCUCUGGCUUUGGGUAUGCUUGAUGAGCACGUUCCACAUGGCAACAAAAUGCCCCAAUUCAGUGAGAUACCUCAAAUUGGUAGUUUCAGAUUUUACAUUCCUUUCUUUGCAUAUGAACUUUUUUUUGGCCAAAAAUUGUUAGCCACAGGUUUUCUAAACCGUUCUUACCAAACAUCUAUUUCCUACUGAAACUCUCUUCUCCAUUUCAGGGUCCCCAGAAUACACCACUGGCAUACCCAGCCUUGUUCAUUUGGUCACAACUUUUCCCUGCCUUCCCUCCCCACCCUACUGACCCUUCAGAGCCUCUUCAUAUUGUACCCACCUUUUUUUUUCUUUAUAAAUUUGUUUGUUUUUAUUUUCGGCUGUGUUGGGUCUUCGUUGCUGUUCC